rnacentral:rRNA from 1 species
GACCUCAAAUCAGGUAGGACUACCCGCUGAACUUAAGCAUAUCAAUAAGCGGAGGAAAAGAAACUAACAAGGAUUCCCCUAGUAACUGCGAGUGAAGCGGGAAAAGCUCAAAUUUAAAAUCUGGCAGUCUUUGAUUGUCCGAGUUGUAAUCUAGAGAAGUGUUAUCCGCGUUGGACCGUGUACAAGUCUCCUGGAAUGGAGCGUCAUAGAGGGUGAGAAUCCCGUCUUUGACACGGACUACCAAGGCUUUGUGAUGCGCUCUCAAAGAGUCGAGUUGUUUGGGAAUGCAGCUCAAAAUGGGUGGUAAAUUCCAUCUAAAGCUAAAUAUUGGCGAGAGACCGAUAGCGAACAAGUACCGUGAGGGAAAGAUGAAAAGAACUUUGGAAAGAGAGUUAAACAGUACGUGAAAUUGCUGAAAGGGAAACGCUUGAAGUCAGUCACGUUGUUCAGAACUCAACCUUACUUUUGUUGGGUGUAUUUUCUGUUUAACGGGUCAGUAUCAAUUUUGAUCGUUGGAUAAAGUCCUUUGGAAUGUGGCUUCCUCGGAAGUGUUAUAGCCUUUGGUUGCAUACAACGGUUGGGAUUGAGGUACUCAGCACGCUGCAAAGCCGGGUUUCGACCACGUUCUGCUUAGGAUACUGGCAUAAUGGCUUAAUCGACCCGUCUGGAAACACGGACCAAGGAGUCUAACAUGCCUGCGAGUGUUUGGGUGGAAAACCCGAGCGCGUAAUGAAAGUGAAAGUUGAGAUCCCCUGUCGUGGGGAGCAUCGACGCCCGGACCAGACCUUCUGUGACGGAUCCGCGGUAGAGCAUGUAUGUUGGGACCCGAAAGAUGGUGAACUAUGCCUGAAUAGGGUGAAGCCAGAGGAAACUCUGGUGGAGGCUCGUAGCGAUUCUGACGUGCAAAUCGAUCGUCAAAUUUGGGUAUAGGGGCGAAAGACUAAUCGAACCAUCU